rnacentral:rRNA from 1 species
AUUGAACGCUGGCGGCAGGCCUAACACAUGCAAGUCGAGCGGAUGAAGGGAGCUUGCUCCUGGAUUCAGCGGCGGACGGGUGAGUAAUGCCUAGGAAUCUGCCUGGUAGUGGGGGAUAACGUCCGGAAACGGGCGCUAAUACCGCAUACGUCCUGAGGGAGAAAGUGGGGGAUCUUCGGACCUCACGCUAUCAGAUGAGCCUAGGUCGGAUUAGCUAGUUGGUGGGGUAAAGGCCUACCAAGGCGACGAUCCGUAACUGGUCUGAGAGGAUGAUCAGUCACACUGGAACUGAGACACGGUCCAGACUCCUACGGGAGGCAGCAGUGGGGAAUAUUGGACAAUGGGCGAAAGCCUGAUCCAGCCAUGCCGCGUGUGUGAAGAAGGUCUUCGGAUUGUAAAGCACUUUAAGUUGGGAGGAAGGGCAUUAAGUUAAUACCUUGCUGUUUUGACGUUACCAACAGAAUAAGCACCGGCUAACUUCGUG